UACGGGGGGGUGCGAGCGUUGUCCGGAAUCACUGGGCGUAAAGGGCGCGUAGGUGGUCUGAUAAGGGUGUGGUGAAAGUCCGGGGCUCAACCCCGGAUCUGCCGUGCCGACUGUCAGACUCGAGGACUGUAGAGGCAGGCGGAAUUCCGGGGUGUAGCGGUGGAAUGCGUAGAGAUCCGGAGGAAGACCGGUGGCGAAGGCGGCCUGCUGGGCAGUUUCUGACACUGAGGCGCGACAGCGGUGGGGAGCAAACAGG
rnacentral:rRNA from 1 species